ACCCCCAUUUCCUUCUCCAGCCCAAACCGUUUUAACCCGACCCGUUACUCCUUCUUCCUCUUCACACAUUCCUGCGUUCAACAGCCACGCAAUUCCUCCCAUCUCCUGUACAGCGCGUCCCCUUCCCCUCUCCCUUUCUUUCAUACGAAUGGUAUACCUAGGUGUCGAAAUCUCCUCUCCCCUCUCGUCCUCUCCUUCAAAUCGGACGACUAUGGUCAUCUUGGUGUUGGAGAAUAAUACAAAUUCGUACCAUUCCAUUUCAACCAUAUCCUUUUAGUUUUUUUGGAUUUCAAAUUGGGAAAUGAAAUCGCGAUUUUACCCCAACCCUUUUUGUGAUAUCCUCCGCUCUCCGUCCGUCAAAAUUUAGUAUAUAUAGGGCCAUCUAUUCACUGUUUUGGGGGGAUUUUUUUUUUGGCUUUCAAUUAUCUUCCGCCUAAUAUUCUUGGCUGAAAUUUCCUGGCGAGAAGUAUUCGUAUAUUGAGGGAAGUUAGUCGAGCCACAAAACAAGACACAUUAAGAGGUAGAGGUGGCGAAAUAUUUCGUUCAAGCCUCUGUUUCAAUUCUCUGUUCGUCGACCAAAGUGAGCCACCAUUUAUUAAUCGAAAGUCGAUCCUCUCAAGCUUGUUAAUCGUCUCAGUUCCGCUGACUCCGAAAAGGUUCAAAACACCCUUCUCGAGUCAGUCAGCCGCCUCAAACAGGUGUACAGGUCGAAAAACAGCAGAAAUGCACUGCUAGAAAUUGAUUACAGGUUCAUCAGAACCUGAAAGUUGCUGGAAAUUACAGUGCAUGUGUUGAAGGAGCUGUAUACCAGCUAUAUACAUAGUUUAUAUCAUGAUAUACAUGUAAAAAAUGCACAGGGGAUCAAAAUUCGAAAUCUGGGUUGAUAGCAGGGAAAAUACGCUGCUGAAAAGGGACUUUAAGCUUUCAAAAGUUGAAAAAUAGGCCUAUAUACAACCUGUAUACACUGAUAUACAGAGGGUCUAUACUAUAAGUAUGUAUAAAAAAUAAGAAUUGCAGGUUAACGUACAAGGACUCCUAAUUUGAGUAAAAUACAGGAAUAGGCAAUAAAUACGUGGGUAGGAUACAACUCAUAUACAUUGGUAUACAUCUUUUGGGCCGCGAUAUACAUUGUUAAAACAGGUUAAAAAUGGUACAGGUACAAAUGUGCAGAAAUAAUAUGGCAAAUACAAGGGAAUAGCGAGGAAUGCAUUUUUAAACAAUAUGCAGGGCUCAAAAAGUCCAAAAUGGAUUGAAUAUACAUUGUAUACAACAGUAUACAUCAUUUGUAUACCUUGACUCUUUCAGGAAAUGGGUCAGGGCCCUUUCAGCAAAAGUUUUUUAAUAGGCCCAAAGGCCAAUUUCUUUUGGAGGAUUUGAAUUGAUGAAAAGGGCCCAAACAUGAAUAGUUUAAUAUAGGAUAGGUGGGUCAAAGCCUAAAUUUGAAUGAAUUUGGGCAAUCAAGCCCAAGUUCAAAUUUUUUUCCUCUUUAUUUAUUAUUUGUUUGAAUUAACUAAUUUUUUGGUAUAAUUUUAAUAAUCUCCUAAAGGGCAACCAUUUUUCACUA